rnacentral:misc_RNA from 1 species
AACGCACAUUGCGCCCAUUAGUAUUCUAGUGGGCAUGCCUGUUCGAGCGUCAUUUCAACCCUUAAGCCUAGCUUAGUGUUGGGAGCCUACAGCUUUUACUAGCUGUAACUCCUGAAAUACAACGGCGGAUCUGCGAUAUCCUCUGAGCGUAGUAAUUUUUUUUCUCGCUUUUGACUGGAGUUGCAGCGUCUUUAGCCGCUAAAUCCCCCAAUUUUUAAUGGUUGACCUCGGAUCAGGUAGGAAUACCCGCUGAACUUAA